UUCUCCCCUCCAGUGGGGCAGAUAGCAAGUGUGCAAUACAUGGGGUGUUUCUAAAUCUGCCUUAUAUUUUAUAUUGUGUUUUUAUAGAGCUUGAUAUCUGUGUUCAGCCAACCACACAUUCCUUUUGGCUAUUUAUGUAGAUGCUGCUUGCACAUGUAUGUUUGUACUUUCUCUUUACCCUGUGUGUUGGGGACAGAGAACAGUGAGCAUUAUAAUUGAGAAGAUUGUGACCCCCCACUGCCACUAGUGAAUUGCAUGGAACCAUCUUUCAGAGGUCUGAUCUUACCCCACCCUCACCACCACCACCCAAAAAAUAUAUAUAUUGCCUUUUGAAUUAAUGAGACUUCUCAUAGGAAUAGGAUAACUGUUACUUUUUUAUUCUUUAAGACUCAGCAAUUUAUGUGUUAAGGUUCUGUCACCAGCCCUUCAUAGCUGCUAGAUAGCAUAAAUAAAGAUAUUGCAAAUGCUUAUUAAUAAUCUAAGUUCACACUUUGUCCACAGAUUUAUUUGUGGAGAUUUUAAAUUUAGCCUCCCACCAUAAGAUUACAGAUUAUAAGCAAAACUAUUUCUCUCCAUUAUUUUUGCUAGCCAUCUACUUAGAUUUGAAAGCUGGUUCUUUUCUUGGUCUGCCUGAGGACUUUCCAUGGAAACACCCAUAACAACAGUAGGGAGGCAUAUGACAUGAGCAAAUGACUUCAGAACAGCAUAUUGUACCUCUCAUAUACCUGGCAUUCUGAAAUACAAUAUUUACAUCACACACAAUGUGUUUCGAACCGUGCCUUCAGUACACGGAACACAAAAGAAGUGAGGCCUGCAAUCCCCACUCUGGAGAAGAUGGUGGCUGGGAAAUCCAGAAAGAUGCAUGAUAAGACAGUUUGAACUUUAGAGUAAUUGCCUGGGUUUGACCCAGUCCUGAAGUCACCAGCUGUCAGUGUCCUUUGAGAAGGAAGAAUAGUAACAGGACCUCCCUGACUGAGCUGUUAUGAUUAUC
rnacentral:lncRNA from 1 species